rnacentral:rRNA from 1 species
AACGAACGCUGGCGGCAUGCCUAACACAUGCAAGUCGAACGAGACCUUCGGGUCUAGUGGCGCACGGGUGCGUAACGCGUGGGAACCUGCCCUUAGGUUCGGAAUAACUCCCCGAAAGGGGUGCUAAUACCGGAUAAUGUCUUCGGACCAAAGAUUUAUCGCCUUUGGAUGGGCCCGCGUUGGAUUAGCUAGUUGGUAGGGUAAAAGCCUACCAAGGCGACGAUCCAUAGCUGGUCUGAGAGGAUGAUCAGCCACACUGGGACUGAGACACGGCCCAGACUCCUACGGGAGGCAGCAGUGGGGAAUAUGGGACAAUGGGCGAAAGCCUGAUCCAGCAAUGCCGCGGGAGUGAUGAAGGCCUUAGGGUGGUAAAGCUCUUUUACCCGGGAUGAUAAGGACAGGACCGGGAGAAUAAGCUCCGGCGAACUCCGG